GGACUACUAGGGUAUCUAAUCCUGUUUGUUUCCUAUGCCUUCGUCCUUCGACGUCAGUUUUUACACGAAAGAUUGCCUACGCCUUCACCAGUCCCCUAGGUAUCAACAAAUAUUAUCUCUACACUCUAGAGUACGAUCUUCCUUUAUUAAACUCUAGAAAAUUAUCCCCAUUUAAGGUAAUUUUUCCGUCUGAGUACCCUUUAAACCUAUUCAUGAUGAUUAACACUAGUCUCUUAUGUAUUACCGCGGCUGCUGGCAC
rnacentral:rRNA from 1 species